AGAUGGUGGGUGCUUUCCCAAGUAAAUCAGAAAGAGGUCCAAAGCAAUGAAACAGCCAAAUAUGCAUACCUACAGCACAACAUUUUAAAGUUUAUUCUUUCAGCUGACAGAGAGAAGAAGAAGAGGAAGAGGAGGAGGAGGAGGAGGAGACAGACACAAAUAGAGAAAGAGAUCGAGAGUAGCAGAUGAGGGCCUGGGGAAAAAAAAAAAAAAAAAAAAAAAAACUAUCAGCUAAAUGAGGGCACAGAUAGAAAGGCAACCUUUGACCACCAGCUGUCUGGAAGUCACCGCCCAGCCGCAUUUGUCAGUCUGCGUCCCCAGAUGAACCCGACCCAAGGGUCAAUGGCUCCCAGCACAGCCGCGUUUGUUUCCGUGUGUGCACACUGCCGUGGUGUCUUCCAAGUGUUUGUAUGCGCGCCCAUGCGCACGGCUCGAGCUAUCUGUGUCACAGCUGGCUUUAUCUCUCGGGCAGAUAAGGCACCCAAAUAAAUGGACAGAGCAGCGAGAAGAACGGUGCGUGGCUGAGAGGGAGAGAUAGAAGAGACAGAGACAUCACGUGGAUGAUCCUGGACCGCAACCAGACACAAAGACCUGGAGGCAGCUGUCGAAAGAACUACCAAAACAUACCAAUGAAUUCCCCUCUCAAACCUCCCUGGAGAGAGAUUUCAAGUAAAUACCAGCAAACAAGCAAUUAUUUCUGGCAGCCUGGGCCCUUCGCUCUUCCAAAAGACAUGGAGCAGAGGGAGAGGGGGUGGAUGAAAUCACCCUAACAGAUGUGAUUUAAAUCAAUAUUGCAUUAUAUGUGCCUUUAUUUAUUUAUUUAUUUAAAAUAAAAAAAAUAAAGUAACACAGGGAACCAAACCAAUGAAGGGCCCUGUGAUGACUGCUGCCCUUCGCUUGACGGAAUAAUUGCUUUCAAUACGUCAGGGUUUUUCAUUUUUUAAUUUCCUUUUACCCCCUGCCUGUCCUUCUUCUGUGUUCCUCCAGGUCUGAGCAAUCCCCCCGAUGUUAAAAUAAUAUAAAAAAAAAAAAAAGAAGGAAAAAAAAAUUCAUCCGAGCUGUCAAACGUAGAGUUUUAACACAAACCAUCUGGUGGAACGAUGGAGGUAAACAGGCGUAAACAGAACCGGACUGGGAGGAAGAGGAGGGGGCGGGGGGAGAGGGAGGCAGCUGAGGGAGGAGAAGAGAAGCAGAGAUCCUGAGAGAGGGGAGAUGGGGUGAGAUAAGCCGAAUGUUACGGAGGAGGAGUUGGAGUAAUAAGAGACGGAGCUGG